rnacentral:rRNA from 1 species
AAUCAACGCUGGCGGCGUGCCUCAGACAUGCAAGUCGAACGCGAAAGUCCCCUUCGGGGGAUGAUUAGAGUGGCGUCCGGGUGAGUAACACGUGGGUAAUCUACCUUCGGGUGGGGAAUAACAGUCGGAAACGACUGCUAAUACCGCAUAAUGCAGCGGCACCUAAUGGUGACAGUUGUUAAAGCGGGGGAUCGCAAGACCUCGCGCCUGAAGAGGAGCCCGCGGCGGAUAGCUAGUUGGCAGGGUAACGGCCUACCAAGGCGACGAUCCGUAGCCGGCCUGAGAGGGCGGUCGGCCACACUGGCACUGACAUACGGGCCAGACUCCUACGGGAGGCAGCAGUGGGGAAUAUUGCGCAAUGGGCAAAGCCUGACGCAGCGACGCCGCGUGUGGGAU